rnacentral:lncRNA from 1 species
CUCCUGAGGACUCACUUAUCCUUCCUCCCCCAUCCUCUGCUAGGAGCUGCUGGUUGACUGUUACAAACCCACAGAGGCCUUCAUUUCUGGCCUGCUGGACAAGAUCCGGGGCAUGCAGAAGCUGAGCACACCCCAGAAGAAGUGAGGGUCCCCGACCCAGGAGAACGGUGGCUCCCACAGGACAAUCGCUGCCCCCCAACCUCGUAGCAACAGCAAUACCGGGGAACCCUGCGGCCAGGCCUGGUGCCAUGAGCAGGGCUCCUCGUGCCCCUGGCCCAGGGGUCUCUUCCCCUGCCCCCUCAGUUUUCCACUUUUGGGGUUUUUUAUUGUUAUUAAACUGAUGGGACUUUUUGUGUUUUUAUAUUGACUCUGCGGCGCGGGCCCUUUAAUAAAGCUAGGAUACGCC